CGGAUGCGGGUGACGGAUCGGAUACGGGUGGGCAAUUUUCAUCCACCACCCGACCCGUUAACCCGACCCAUAACCCGUUUAUUUAAAAAAAAAAAAACCUUUUUAGGUCCAACCUAAAAGCCUAACUAAAUGGUCCAACAUAAGCCCACUACGGCACUACCUAACCUAAUUUUCCUAAACCUAACAUUCUCACUCUGAUACUCUCAGUGUCUCACUCUCAUUCUCCCAACCUCCCUGUCUCCUUCUCUCUCAUUCACUCACGGCGGCAGUAAGGCACGACGCCUCUCAACUCUAGGCUUUUAGAGGCUAUUUUUAUCCAACUUUAAGGAAGUUGUUUGCUGCUGUUGCUGUUUUCAUCGUUUUGUGUUGCAAAGUGACACUACUACAAUAGUGCUACUAUUCUGCUACUUGCUUGUUGCCACUGAUUUCAAUUUUCCCACUUUUUUAAUGUUGCCAUGUGUUGGCAAACUUAGACUUGAUUUAACUCUAACUAGUUGUUUUUAUUGAAUAUGUGUGUACCGAUUAUUAAUCAAAAUUUGGAAGUUCUCUGUAUAAAUUGUGCAUUUACCCAAUCACCCGAUCCAUCCGUUUCACCCGUGGGUGAUGGAUGGAUGGAUGGAUUCGGGUAGAUGUUUGACCGGGUGAUGGAUGGAUCGGGUGGGGUGGAUGGAGGCGGGUGAUGGAUGCGGGUGAUGGUCCACCCGCCCCGAACCCGAUCCAUUUCCAUCUCUAUACAAUACCUUCUCUUAAUAAUAUAACUAGCCUUCAUAUGCACGCGAUGCGUGCGUUAAUUUCAAAA